rnacentral:rRNA from 1 species
AGAGUUUGAUCCUGGCUCAGAAUGAACGCUGGCGGCGUGCUUUACACAUGCAAGUCGAGCGAGGCGUAUGGAGCUUGCUCCGUACAGUCGAGCGGCGAACGGGUGAGUAACACGUGGGUACCUGCCUUUGGGUGGGGGAUAGCCCGGGGAAACCCGGAUUAAUACCGCAUAAUAUCCAAGGAUCAAAGGGGGCUUCGGCUCUCGCCUGGAGAGGGGCCCGCGUCCGAUUAGCUUGUUGGUGAGGUAAUGGCUCACCAAGGCUGCGAUCGGUAGCCGGCCUGAGAGGGUGAUCGGCCACACUGGGACUGAGACACGGCCCAGACUCCUACGGGAGGCAGCAGUGGGGAAUUUUGCGCAAUGGGGGAAACCCUGACGCAGCAACGCCGCGUGGAGGAUGAAGGCCCUUGGGUCGUAAACUCCUGUCAGCGGGGAAGAAAGGCCGCGGGUUAAUACCCCGACGGCUCUGACGGUACCCGCGGAGGAAGCCCCGGCUAACUCUGUGCCAGCAGCCGCGGUAAUACAGAGGGGGCAAGCGUUAUUCGGAAUUAUUGGGCGUAAAGGGCGCGUAGGCGGCUUAGCAAGUGGAAGGUGAAAUCCCUCAGCUCAACUGAGGAACUGCCCUCCAAACUGCUUAGAUUGAGUCCGGGAGAGGUGAGUGGAAUUCCCAGUGUAGCGGUGAAAUGCGUAGAUAUUGGGAGG